rnacentral:rRNA from 1 species
AAUAUGUCGCUUUGACGCUUACCGAGUAAUAUAUUCAAUAGCAAAUAAACUAUCAUGGAAUGAUGAACCUAUUGGCACCAUUAAGAUCUCGAUUAUGUACGAUUUUUAGGGCUGAAGCCUUCCCUACAUAAAUAAUCUAAUUUUUGGUUACGGGAGACCCGAGAGACCACUAAGUACUAUUGAAGAGCUUAGCGUACCGGAACGCGGCCGCUACCAAGUAAGUUUAAAGAAGGGAUAGUUGAAAGCUACAAACCCAUCACCGGUUUGUACCAACGUUGCCCAUUGCCUCCCAAUCCCGAGCUGGGGCCUCUUCCUCGGACUCUUUGCCGAUGAUGUAGGUUCCUUCCGUCGUCCGCGCGUUUAAUGGGUUAGGGCUGUGCCCCUCCAUCACUGUUAUUUAUGACUAUGUCCCGAGAAAACCCAGAACAUUAACCUUACUCAUGUUAAAUUUAGGGAAUUGCUCCUUGUUAACCUCCCGUUCAGACCACGGUCGUCGGCGCCAUUAAGGUCGAGGUUAUCGCAUAUAAUUUCAACAACACCAAUUUUUCGAGCAUCAACUUGGAACCCGGACCGACCGGCCAGGCGGAGUGGCGCACAUGACCAGGCCGGCCCGGAAAGGGAGACACCUUGGGGUACGGGAAGUGACCCACACCGCCCCUUUGUCCUGAAAAUGAAACUUUUUUAAUCUCACGAGGUCCGUCCGGAUACGAGCUUAUGUAAUCGUACCUUAUUACUUUAUCCUGCACGCCAAGAUAAAACAACCAAAGAUCCUGGCGGCAUUACUAAUUAUCCCUGUCAGCCCCCGUAGUCAUAAGUUAACAGUCUCCACUUUAAGAACCUAAAUAACUUCUGAUUGAUGACGCUUUCGUAAACGGUUCCUACAAAAGUAAUUAGUCCUUGCUUUCAAUCCCCUAGCUUCUGCUAGUCUAUGGCAGCAUCAGAAUUGGUAUUUGAUACGGCUGAUCCCUAGCCUGCUACAAUAAAAAACUGAGCAAGCCGUGGAAUGCUCUUUAGUUUCACGAACCNGAGGUCCC